ensembl:lncRNA
GUCCCGGGGUUCUGGAACUAUGACGGUGAGGUCAUUCAUUCAGUGUUGUCCCGGGGUUCUGGAACUAUGACGGUGAGGUCAUUCAUUCAGUGUUGUCCCGGGGUUCUGGAACUAUGACGGUGAGGUCAUUCAUUCGGUGUUGUCCCGGGGUUCUGGAACUAUGACGGUGAGGUCAUUCAUUCGGUGUUGUCCCGGGAUUCUGGAACUAUGACGGUGAGGUCAUUCAUUCAGUGUUGUCCCGGGGUUUUGGAACUAUGACGGUGAGGUCAUUCAUUCAGUGUUGUCCCGGGGUUCUGGAACUAUGACGGUGAGAUCAUUCAUUCGGUGUUGUCCCGGGGUUCUGGAACUAUGACAGUGAG